GUGGUUCCUUAGUAAAUACUGACUGAAAUUGUUGGUUAAGAAUGUCUGCUUUUUCAGUAGUGUCUGUAACAAGUAUACCUUCUUUUUUCAGAGGUGCAAUUCCUGUAUUAUCAUUUCUAGUGCUUUUGAUGAACUGAAAUAGCUUUUUUGGUUUUGUGUUUGUGGACUGAUGUUGGUCCGGUUCAUUGAUUGGUAAAUCACAAAUAAUUUGUUCUAUGUAGUUCCAGUAUGCCUUCCUUUGUUCUUUUUGAACUGUUUGUUUUAGUUUCUUGUAUUUAGAAGGAUUUCUAUUUCUGUUUUUAUAACACUUAUUUUUCUUGUUAAUGAGUUUCCUAAGGUUGUUGUUUAUCCA
rnacentral:lncRNA from 1 species